GAUGAACGCUGGCGGUACGCUUAACACAUGCAAGUCGAACGGGGUGCCUAGUCACCUCGUGGCGGACGGGUGAGUAACGCGUGAGAAUCUGGCCUCAGGUCCGGGACAACCACGGGAAACGGUGGCUAAUACCGGAUGUGCCAUAUUGGUGAAAGAUUAAUUGCCUGAGGUUGAGCUCGCGUCUGAUUAGCUAGUUGGUGGGGUAAAGGCUUACCAAGGCGACGAUCAGUAACUGGUCUGAGAGGAUGACCAGUCACACUGGGACUGAGACACGGCCCAGACUCCUACGGGAGGCAGCAGUGGGGAAGUGUCCGCAAUGGGCGAAAGCCUGACGGAGCAAUACCGCGUGAGGGAGGAAGGCUCUUGGGUUGUAAACCUCUUUUCUCAGGGAAGAAGAAUGACGGUACCUGAGGAAUCAGCAUCGGCUAACUCCGUG
rnacentral:rRNA from 1 species